rnacentral:rRNA from 1 species
GACGAACGCUGGCGGCGUGCUUAACACAUGCAAGUCGAACGGUAAGGCCCUUCGGGGUACACGAGUGGCGAACGGGUGAGUAACACGUGGGUGAUCUGCCCUGCACUUCGGGAUAAGCCUGGGAAACUGGGUCUAAUACCGGAUAGGACCACUGCCUGCAUGGGUGGUGGUGGAAAGCUUUUGCGGUGUGGGAUGGGCCCGCGGCCUAUCAGCUUGUUGGUGGGGUGAUGGCCUACCAAGGCGACGACGGGUAGCCGGCCUGAGAGGGUGACCGGCCACACGGGGACUGGGAUACGGCCCAGACUCCUACGGGAGGCAGCAGUGGGGAAUAUUGCACAAUGGGCGCAAGCCUGAUGCAGCGACGCCGCGUGAGGGAUGACGGCCUUCGGGUUGUAAACCUCUUUCACCACCGACGAAGCGCAAGUGACGGUAGGUGCAGAAGAAGGACCGGCCAACUACGUGCCAGCCGCCACGGUAA